UAGCUCAGCCUGGUAGAGCACCGGUUUUGGGAACCGGGGGUCGCAAGUUCGAAUCU
rnacentral:tRNA from 1 species